GAGACACNUGGAAACAGAUGCUAAUACCGGAUAACAACAGAUGAUGCCUAUCAACUGUUUAAAAGAUGGUUCUGCUAUCACUCUUGGAUGGACCUGCGGUGCAUUAGCUAGUUGGUAGGGUAACGGCCUACCAAGGCGAUGAUGCAUAGCCGAGUUGAGAGACUGAUCGGCCACAUUGGGACUGAGACACGGCCCAAACUCCUACGGGAGGCAGCAGGC
rnacentral:rRNA from 1 species